rnacentral:rRNA from 1 species
CAGGCCUAACACAUGCAAGUCGAACGAGACCUUCGGGUCUAGUGGCGCACGGGUGCGUAACGCGUGGGAAUCUGCCCUUGGGUUCGGAAUAACAGCGAGAAAUUGCUGCUAAUACCGGAUGAUGACGUAAGUCCAAAGAUUUAUCGCCCAGGGAUGAGCCCGCGUAGGAUUAGCUAGUUGGUGGAGUAAAGGCCUACCAAGGCGACGAUCCUUAGCUGGUCUGAGAGGAUGAUCAGCCACACUGGGACUGAGACACGGCCCAGACUCCUACGGGAGGCAGCAGUGGGGAAUAUUGGACAAUGGGCGAAAGCCUGAUCCAGCAAUGCCGCGUGAGUGAUGAAGGCCCUAGGGUUGUAAAGCUCUUUUACCCGGGAUGAUAAUGACAGUACCGGGAGAAUAAGCUCCGGCUAACUCCGUGCCAGCAGCCGCGGUAG